CUCCAUGUACCAUAACAACAAGACCGCAGAUCCUCCAUAGAAAAAGCCUUUUUUCUCUCAGUCGUCAAUUGUGAUGGCCUUUUAUAAAGGUAUGUCAAGCGUAGGGAAAAUAUUAAGACAAAGUAGCCCCUGCUUGGACUUAUUCUAUCUUUUGACUAGGCAGUCAAUGUGAGUAUUUCAUAAAAAUUUUAUGUUUUUGAAAUACUCAUUUUGGACGUGGGUGGGGGGAUGAUUUUAAACAGAAGUAGACUGAUUGUAGUUACAUCCAAU